rnacentral:rRNA from 1 species
AUUGAACGCUGGCGGCAUGCUUUACACAUGCAAGUCGAACGGUAACAGGCCGCAAGGUGCUGACGAGUGGCGAACGGGUGAGUAAUGCAUCGGAACGUGCCCAGUCGUGGGGGAUAACGCAGCGAAAGCUGCGCUAAUACCGCAUACGAUCCAUGGAUGAAAGCGGGGGACCGUAAGGCCUCGCGCGAUUGGAGCGGCCGAUGUCAGAUUAGGUAGGUGGUGGGGUAAAGGCUCACCAAGCCGACGAUCUGUAGCUGGUCUGAGAGGACGACCAGCCACACUGGGACUGAGACACGGCCCAGACUCCUACGGGAGGCAGCAGUGGGGAAUUUUGGACAAUGGGCGCAAGCCUGAUCCAGCAAUGCCGCGUGCAGGAAGAAGGCCUUCGGGUUGUAAACUGCUUUGGUACGGAACGAAAAGGCUCUGGUUAACCCCUGGGGCUCAUGACGGUACCGUAAGAAUAAGCACCGGCUAACUACGUGCCAGCCGCCGCCGUAACAC